rnacentral:piRNA from 1 species
UGCAAUAAUGACCCACUUGUCC